rnacentral:rRNA from 1 species
UACAGAGGUCUCAAGCGUUGUUCGGAUUCAUUGGGCGUAAAGGGUGCGUAGGCGGCGCGGUAAGUCGGGUGUGAAAUCUUGGAGCUUAACUCCGAAACUGCAUUCGAUACUGCCGUGCUUGAGGACUGGAGAGGAGACUGGAAUUUACGGUGUAGCGGUGAAAUGCGUAGAUAUCGUAAGGAAGACCAGUAGCGAAGGCGGGUCUCUGGACAGUUCCUGACGCUGAGGCGCGAAGGCCAGGGGAGGCAAACGGG